rnacentral:rRNA from 1 species
GGGCGAAAGCCUGAUGCAGCGACGCCGCGUGAGGGAUGACGGCCUUCGGGUUGUAAACCUCUUUCAGCAGGGAAGAAGCGAAAGUGACGGUACCUGCAGAAGAAGCGCCGGCUAACUACGUGCCAGCAGCCGCGGUAAUACGUAGGGCGCAAGCGUUGUCCGGAAUUAUUGGGCGUAAAGAGCUCGUAGGCGGCUUGUCACGUCGGGUGUGAAAGCCCGGGGCUUAACCCCGGGUCUGCAUUCGAUACGGGCUAGCUAGAGUGUGGUAGGGGAGAUCGGAAUUCCUGGUGUAGCGGUGAAAUGCGCAGAUAUCAGGAGGAACACCGGUGGCGAAGGCGGAUCUCUGGGCCAUUACUGACGCUGAGGAGCGAAAGCGUGGGGAGCGAACAGGAUUAGAUACCCUGGUAGUCCACGCCGUAAACGGUGGGAACUAGGUGUUGGCGACAUUCCACGUCGUCGGUGCCGCAGCUAACGCAUUAAGUUCCCCGCCUGGGGAGUACGGCCGCAAGGCUAAAACUCAAAGGAAUUGACGG